UCAUGGGCCUCUUGAUAUGCGGCUCGGUGUUGCUCCUGCCACGUGCUUCCCGGAACACGCGAGCCUCCGCGAUGUUGCUUCCUGUAAAGAAGAAAUGCAACAUUUUGUAUUCUUUUUAGAAAUAAGAUACAGUGAUCACUUACAGUCCUACGCUAUAGCUAGUCUUGGGCCUGUUCUGAUCUAUACCGUGAAAUUUGGUCGGCAUGUCUAUCAUGAGUAGACCAACGAAAAAUCUUAACUGCAAGCUUUCGCUACAACGGAAUUACAUUUUGGCCUUGCUGGAAUAAUAAAAACAAAAUGUUCAAGAGGCUAAAAUGUUGACAUUGAAACGUUCUGUUUAGCUCUGCUUUGCUGAGCUUCACAAUAAAUAUUUGCACUGGUUGAAUACCUGAAUGUGACACUGUGAUGCUCUUUGUAGCUUUACAUCUACAAUGGGACACCAACCUUAUAAGGCUCCACUUUGACACAUUUUCAGCAUUGGAACAUACCCUUACCUUUUUUGGUCAAAAGUACAAACGAGUUACUUACGAGUAUUUUAUACUAUUUACUGUAUAUUUAAUACAGAGCAAUGUUUUGAUUGUGGCGGCACGGUGGACGACUGGUUAGAGCGUCAGCCUCACAGUUCUGAGGACCCGGGUUCAAUCCCCGGCCCCGCCUGUGUGGAGUUUGCAUGUUCUCCCCGUGCCUGCGUGGGUUUUCUCCGGGCACUCCGGUUUCCUCCCACAUCCCAAAAACAUGCAUUAAUUGGAGACUCUAAAUUGCCCGUAGGCAUGACUGUGAGUGUGAAUGGUUGUUUGUUUCUAUGUGCCCUGCGAUUGGCUGGCAACCAGUUCAGGGUGUACCCCGCCUCCUGCCCGAUGACAGCUGGGAUAGGCUCCAGCACGCCCGCGACCCGCGUGAGGAGAAGAGGCUCAGAAAAUGGAUAGAUGGAUGUUUUGAUUGUAAGAAUGGAUUUAACAUCUUUGUCUUAUAAUCGUUUGUGUGUUCCUGUCAGCUUUGUGGUCAAGGGGCAAAGAGCCAUCAGCGUCGCUCUAGAUGGUCAUUCAUUGACCCGAUGAUGCGGCACGUAAUGGAGAAGAACAGAGCAGAACUCGGCGGUAGCUCACCGUCCAGAUCCUCCGGCCUGGUCAGGUCGAUGACUCGAUGCACCAUCUUCCCAGCAUCCUCCCCGAGCUUGCCCAGGUCGUCGUGGUCUCUCUUAGGAUCUAAUAUGAAGUUCCCAUCAUGCACUCGGAGAAGCCAAGAAGCGGCUAAAAUGACAAAAGUGUGGUGGAAAACAUGGACACGCUGCGCUACUCUUCCUCCUACCAUCCCUCCUCCUCCUUUUUCUGGUGACAGAGGCAUUUUGUUUGACGCAAAAGAUGGUUGCCGGGUGAAGUCAUGCUGGCAGAGCGGCUGGAACUUGUGGGCCAAAGCGUAUAGAAGUGUGUGUUUAGGUGUGUGUAUGUGUGUGUUUAGGUGUGUGUUUGGAGGCCAAUGUCAGCACCACGACGGGGCUGUAAUCAGGGCGGCCGCAGAACAUGUGCCCGGGCAGUGCCGCGCUCACCGCAAGGAAGCCAGCGCCUAACAGCACACAAGAAGAAGAAGAAGACAAAAGAUGGAGAGUAGAAGAAGAGGAAGGAAUGGAAAGUACUAAAAUGGAGAAGCAGUGAGUGAAGAAGAUGGUCCUCAACCUUUAAGUAUGGAUUGCAAAUGUAACGAUAUGAAUUAUAUUCCAUUCAUUAUUGUUUUCGUAUAUAUAUAUAUACAGUAUGCAGUAUAGCAGGAGUGAAAGGUAAUUUCCGGAUGAAAUGUAUUGAACAUGCGACACACUGCUUUUGAUAAUGCAAAUAAGUUGUAAUAAUUUUGUCAUGUGACUUCUUUCCAGUAUGUUGCCUUUUUGUAUGUAUGUAUGUAUAUACACGUAAUCAUUAUUUAUACAUUUUUAAUUGGAAUUUACCAUGCUAUUUAUUCAACAUGCCACAUAUGACAAAUGCGGUUUUAAUAAUUUCGUCAUGCGACUUCUUUCCUGUAUUUUGCCUUUUUCUCUUAUUAUUAUUAUUAUUAGUAGUAGUAGUAGCAGUUGUAGUAGUAUUAAUAAUACAGUUUUAACAGUAAAUGAAUACCCUAUUUAUCUAACACUGCGAACGACAAAUGUAAUUGUUUUGUCAUGUAAGUUCUUUACUGUAUUUUCAUGUUUCUGUUAUUAAAUACAAAUGUUUACUAUGGUAAUGAUGAUGAUGACUAUUAUUAUAAAUAUUAUUAUUACUCUUGUCAUUAUUAUUUAUACUUUAUAAGAGAUGAUUAAAUGUACACAUAUA